CCUAAUAACCAAUAUAUCAAGGAGAGAGUGAGCAGCCCUUUUGUUAAAAUUUAUUCCAUGUGUCAUAUCAACUGUAAGUCACACAUCAAUAUUUUCUAAUAGACUUAACAGAAAACUAGCAGUUGCUUCUAAACACCAUGAAAUUGAUAAUGUAGAGAGAAAAACACUGCUUGUCGUACUUUAAAUCCCGAGAGUCAAUCAGAUUUGUUGUUACCGUAUAAUUUUCCCUUCACAAUCUUUCCUGUCUGGAGAGCCCACACAUAUAAAAGAAAAGAUUUCUCUUUUAUAGCAGUGCAUAAAAUAACCAUAGCAAAUGUUGCUGUUUCCCACAAACCAGAACUAAGGUAGCUAAGUCACAUUUAUCAGACUACUGGUAAGUUGCCAAGAGUCAAAAUACUUUCCAGCUACUUAACUCAAGGGGCAAGUUCAAGGGUCCACAAGAUCUCUUGAGAUGAUGGGAAAAUAAUAGGAUGAGGACAAUUCUGUCAUGUUACUUUGUACACUCAUUAUUUUCACUGCUGAUAGGAAAGAGAUUGAACAGUGUGAAGUACUUUAUUCUCUCAGGGCCAUUAAUCUCUGAGUAAUGUUCCAGCCAAAAGAUGGGUCUGGACAUGCCAGAUAUAUUCAAAUUAACAGACUCUUUUAAAUGAAAAGAGUGAAGACUUGGAUACAGUGAGAGUUAGAAAGAAGCUUAUGCAGGCAGGGAACUCCAUAUUUCUUACAGACAUAGGAAGAACUGGCUUCUCAGUUGGGAGAUAAGGAACCACAAACUUACAGAAACCAUAUUGCAUCUGUGGAAGUCAUUUGGAUCAACUGAUGAUACUCUCAACUUGACAAUACUGAAUGGAAGGAAAAACAUCAAGUAUGUUUCUCUUUUGAAGAUUCACCUACUACAUCAACACAAAUAUGGUCAGAGGGGAUGGAAGUGACCCACCAAAGCAUGGGGGCUUUAGCAUGGCAACUAGAGUGGGUUCAAUUCCCAUGACUUCAAAAUAUGAUAAACAGAGCCAAUCCUCUCUUUAGGCAGACCUAUCAAACCAUAUGUUAGCCAGAACUCUUCUGUAGACAGGGAUGUGUGAAUUUCACGUAUGCUAAGUGUACUGUUUAGGGAACUAUAAUAACGGGAUCGGUUUGGUAAUUGGAAUAAUUUAUUUCACUGUUAAACAUAUGCUGGGCCUAGCCCAAGAGAUCAUGUCACUGGAUUAUUGUGGAGAAUGGAAUGCAAUGAAACUAUUUAGCAAACAUUUUUAAGCUAAUGCUUAAUUAAAAGCACUUGUGAUGAGCCUUAUUACUGGUAUUUGUCCUUGGAUUGACUUGCUCUUGCAGUUCUAACCAAGUAGCCCAAAUAAGUGGUGUAAAUAUAUAUUUGUGCCGAACACAAAGAAAGAUAUAGAGAAAGGGCCGUAAGCAUUGAUACAUGGGCUAAAUGUCGUUCACUUAUUGAUUUUAUAAAUUAAGUUUUAUUAAGCUGCACUCAUUUGCUUAUGUUUAAAUGUACUUUCACACUAAACAGCACAGUUGAAUAUUUCCAAUAGAGAUAUUCUGGUAUGAAAAGUCUGAAAUAUUUAGUAUCAGGCCCUUUUUAGAAAGUC
ensembl:lncRNA